rnacentral:rRNA from 1 species
GGGCGAAAGCCUGACGGAGCAACGCCGCGUGAGUGAUGAAGGUCUUCGGAUCGUAAAACUCUGUUAUUAGGGAAGAACAUAUGUGUAAGUAACUGUGCACAUCUUGACGGUACCUAAUCAGAAAGCCACGGCUAACUACGUGCCAGCAGCCGCGGUAAUACGUAGGUGGCAAGCGUUAUCCGGAAUUAUUGGGCGUAAAGCGCGCGUAGGCGGUUUUUUAAGUCUGAUGUGAAAGCCCACGGCUCAA